rnacentral:rRNA from 1 species
UACGGGGGGAGCAAGCGUUGUUCGGAUUCAUUGGGCAUAAAGGGUGCGUAGGUGGCGCGCUAAGUCAGGUGUGAAAUUUCGGAGCUUAACUCCGAAACUGCAUUUGAUACUGGCGUGCUUGAGGACUGGAGAGGAGACUGGAAUUCAUGGUGUAGCAGUGAAAUGCGUAGAGAUCAUGAGGAAGACCAGUGGCGAAGGCGGGUCUCUGGACAGUUCCUGACACUGAGGCACGAAGGCCAGGGGAGCGAACGGG